GAUGAAGAACGCAGCGAAAUGCGAUAAGUAAUGUGAAUUGCAGAAUUCAGUGAAUCAUCGAAUCUUUGAACGCACAUUGCGCCCCCCAGUAUUCUGGCGGGCAUGCCUGUUCGAGCAUCAUUUCAACCAUCAAGCCCUGCUUGUGUUGGGGUCCUGCGGCUGCCCGCAGGCCCUGAAAACCAGUGGCGGGCUCGCUAGUCACACCGAGCGCAGUAGCACAUCUCGCUCAGGGCGUGCGGCGGGCUCCAGCCGUUAAAGCACCCACCUUUCGCAAGGUUGACCUCGGAUCAGGUAGGAAUACCCGCUGAACUUAAGCAUAUCAAUAAGCGGAGGA
rnacentral:misc_RNA from 1 species